AGAGUUUGAUUAUGGCUCAGGACGAACGCUGGCGGCGUGCCUAAUACAUGCAAGUCGAACGCUUUUUCUUCCACCGGAGCUUGCUCCACCGGAAGAAAAGGAGUGGCGAACGGGUGAGUAACACGUGGGUAACCUACCCUCGAGCGGGGGAUAACACUUGGAAACAGGUGCUAAUACCGCAUAACAAAGAAAACCGCAUGGUUUUCUUUUGAAAGGCGCUUUUGCGUCACUCGAGGAUGGACCCGCGGUGCAUUAGCUAGUUGGUGAGGUAACGGCUCACCAAGGCAACGAUGUAUAGCCGACCUGAGAGGGUGAUCGGCCACAUUGGGACUGAGACACGGCCCAA
rnacentral:rRNA from 1 species